UGGGGAAUAUUGCGCAAUGGCCGAAAGGCUGACGCAGCGACGCCGCGUGGGGGAUGAAGCAUUUCGGUGUGUAAACCCCUGUUGCCCGGGACGAACAAGCAGAUUUUUCUGCUCUGACGGUACCGGGUGAGGAAGCACCGGCUAACUCCGUGCCAGCAGCCGCGGUAAUACGGAGGGUGCGAGCGUUGUUCGGAGUUACUGGGCGUAAAGAGUGCGUAGGCGGCGAGCCAAGUUUGGUGUGAAAUCUCCCGGCUUAACCGGGAGGGUGCGCCGAAAACUGGUUGGCUGGAGUAUGGGAGAGGAAAGCAGAAUUCCUGGUGUAGCGGUGAAAUGCGUAGAUAUCAGGAGGAACACCUGCGGUGUAGACAGCUUUCUGGACCAAAACUGACGCUGAGGCACGAAAGCGUGGGUAGCAAACA
rnacentral:rRNA from 1 species